rnacentral:rRNA from 2 species
UUGGAGGGCAAGUCUGGUGCCAGCAGCCGCGGUAAUUCCAGCUCCAAUAGCGUAUAUUAAAGUUGUUGCAGUUAAAAAGCUCGUAGUUGAAUUUCGGGAUCAAUUUAUUGGUCGUGCUAUUGUACGUACUGGUAUUAUUGAUUCCUACCUUCUGACGAACCAUGAUGUCAUUAAUUUGGUGUCAUGGGGAAUCAGGACUGUUACUUUGAAAAAAUUAGAGUGUUUAAAGCAGGCUCACGCUUGAAUACAUUAGCAUGGAAUAACGAAAUAGGACGUUUGAUUCUAUUUUGUUGGUUUCUAGGAUCGACGUAAUGAUUAAUAGGGAUAGUUGGGGGCAUUAGUAUUCAAUUGUCAGAGGUGAAAUUCUUGGAUUUAUUGAAGACUAACUACUGCGAAAGCAUUUGCCAAGGAUGUUUUCAUUAAUCAAGAACGAAAGUUAGGGGAUCGAAGACGAUCAGAUACCGUCGUAGUCUUAACCAUAAACUAUGCCGACUAGGGAUCGGAUGAUGUUAAUUUUUUAAUGACUCAUUCGGCGCCUUACGGGAAAC